ACUGGCAAGGAUGACAUUUACUUGCCCUCACUGAGAUCAUAGUUCACUGAUGAGAGCACUAAUUGUUCUGAGCCAGU